rnacentral:rRNA from 1 species
CCCGUCACACCAUGAGAGUUGGAGAUACCCGAAGCCUAUGAGCUAACUUUUAGAGGCAGUAGUCGAAGGUAGAAUCAAUGAUUGGGGUGAAGUCGUAACAAGGUACC